GCGCCCGUAGCUCAACUGGAUAGAGCAUCAGACUUCGGAUCUGAGGGUUUGGGGUUCGAAUCCCUACGGGCGUA
rnacentral:tRNA from 1 species